UUCGUAGGCGGUUUUUCGCGUCGGAUGUGAAAACUCAGGGCUCAACCCUGAGCCUGCAUUCGAUACGGGAAGACUCGAGGACGGCAGGGGAGACUGGAACUUCUGGUGUAGCGGUGGAAUGCGCAGAUAUCAGAAAGAACACCAAUGGCGAAGGCAGGUCUCUGGGCCGAUCCUGACGCUGAGGAACGAAAGCGUGGGGAGCAAACA
rnacentral:rRNA from 1 species